rnacentral:misc_RNA from 1 species
GAUGAAGAACGUAGCGAAAUGCGAUAAGUAAUGUGAAUUGCAGAGUUUAGUGAAUCAUCGAAUCUUUGAACGCACAUUGCGCCCCUCGGUAUUCCGACGGGCAUGCCUGUUCGAGCGUCGUUUUCAUACCUCAAGCCGGACCCAUGUUUGCUUGGUCUUGGGCCACCGUCCCCGUCUCCCCGCGAGAGCGGGAGGGGACGGGCCCCGAAGCGAGCGGCGGCCUCGGAUGCACCGCCGGAGCGUCUUGGUGACAGCUCCGCCCCGGCGCGUCACCCGCGGGCCCGCCCGAGAACGACCCAUCGACGAAAGAUCCGACCUCGGAUCAGGCAGGGAUACCCGCUGAACUUAAGCAUAUCAAUAAGCGGAGGA